ensembl:lncRNA
GGGGAAGGUUCUCUUUCUGGAGCUCCCCUCUUAGUGAAGUUUUCUACUGUGAACCUGGGAUCUUCUAAUAUGGGUCAUCUGUUCCAUGAAGAUAUAGCCAUCUGGGAAAUUAGCAUAUAUAUUUUAUGAAGCAGAGCAGAGCUCCCUCUUGUACUGACUCAGAUGCUGAAGUCCCAGAUUCACAGUAUCCUGCCUAGCCAGCACAGCACAGCUUGUACAGCUUCUGUUACCAGUGGCUUACCUCUCCCCUGCAUGAAGAGCAAACCUACAUUAAAGUGAUGCUGAUACAGCCAUUUGCGAACCCAACCAGCUUCAUGAUGGAGGCAAGCUAACCUGACUGUGGGUUGAACAGGAGAGGGUGGCUUGGCUUUCAGCUAGUUGAAUGAGCUGAAAUGACUCUAGAGCUGCGCAGUCACUGCUGCUGGAAUCAGGAAAGCAGGUCAGGCAUGUGACAUGGGGCAGGGAAGUCCCUUUCAGCAGCAGGAAUGUUGGAUAAGCU